rnacentral:rRNA from 1 species
CAAUAGCGUAUAUUAAAGUUGUUGCAGUUAAAAAGCUCGUAGUUGGAUCUGUGGUGUGCGGUGGGCUCCGGGCACUUGUUGUCUGAGUAGCUCGCCGCUGCCAUCCUUGGGUGGAACCUGUGUGGCAUUAGGUUGUCGUGCAGGGGAUGCCCAUCGUUUACUGUGAAAAAAUUAGAGUGUUCAAAGCAGGCUUAUGCCGUUGAAUAUAUUAGCAUGGAAUAAUGAGAUAGGACUUUUUCGCUAUUUUGUUGGUUUGCGCGGAGAGGUAAUGAUUAAUAGGGACAGUUGGGGGUAUUCGUAUUCCAUUGUCAGAGGUGAAAUUCUUGGAUUUUUGGAAGACGAACUACUGCGAAAGCAUUUACCAAGGAUGUUUUCAUUAA